AGUGAACGCUGGCGGUAGGCCUAACACAUGCAAGUCGAACGGCAGCACAGUAAGAGCUUGCUCUUACGGGUGGCGAGUGGCGGACGGGUGAGGAAUACAUCGGAAUCUACUUUUUCGUGGGGGAUAACGUAGGGAAACUUACGCUAAUACCGCAUACGACCUACGGGUUAAAGCAGUGGAUCUUCUGACCUUGCGCGAUUGAAUGAGCCGAUGUCGGAUUAGCUAGUUGGCGGGGUAAAGGCCCACCAAGGCGACGAUCCGUAGCUGGUCUGAGAGGAUGAUCAGCAACACUGGAACUGAGACACGGUCCAGACUACUACGGGAGGCAGCAGUGGGGAAUAUUGGACAAUGGGCGCAAGCAUGAUCCAGCCAUACCGCGUGGGUGAAGAAGGCCUUCGGGUUGUAAAGACCUUUUGUUGGGAAAGAAAAGCAGCAGGUUAAUACCCCGCUGUUCUGACGGUACCCAAAGAAUAAGCACCGGCUAACUUCGUG
rnacentral:rRNA from 1 species